CUUACUCUUCCAAUGAAAGCAGAACAUGCACAUGGUUCUUACAAAGCAUACAAGGUUCUUUCAAUGUCUCAUAUUAAAGGUUAAAAGUGGGUGAGUGACGGAAGUUAACCUGCAGUUUCCGUACACAUACAAAAUGUAAUGAGGCAGGUAGAGAGGAAGUGAGCACUCGAGGUGUGCUUACAAAAGCACAGAAGGCAGCCUCUGUCUGGCAAAUGAAUACUGCACUGUGUGGUCACUUUCCCUACCAUAUAAUUUCAAAGUCAUAAUCUAUGACAAUCAUAACAGUUGCACAGGAAAAAAAAAAUGAUAAUGGAAAAAGAAAUGUCCAGACAGUUUGAGCACUAAAAGAGAGUAACAGUGAUGUGCUACUUCUGGUAAAUUACAACAGUACUACCCAACAACAUUUCUGUACAUAUGUCUAUCAGAAUUAUUCAUUAAAUUGGUAAUUGUUGGGAAUUUAACAAGAAAAUUUCAGUGUGCAAAAUUAGCUGUAUUUGAAAAAACAUUCUACUUAGGCCUCGAUUUGAAAUAUUUGGAUGUUUUUUUUUUUAAAAUGAUUUAUCCCUUGGAUUUUAGGGGUGACUCCUGUUGAUGAAUUAUUUGGAAAGUUUUUCUAACAGGUUUGAAUCAUUUGAAAACCUUAUCCAAAAAUAUUAAAUCGAGGCACUAGUUUUUCCGGGUUGGCAUUUGUGGUCUAAAAUGUAAAGUUCCC